AUGCACACCGUCAAGGAGGAGUUUCAAGUUCUUGACUCAAAUUCUAAAGGCGCAAUUAGCCAAAGAAUUCACAAUAUGAUUGCCACCCUGGCCAACUCAACUCUUGAAUCAAAAAAAUUUCCAGAUGUCUCAUCGUGGCCAAUUAAUGAGUAUAAAAUGCCGAGACAAAACGAUGGAGUGUCUUGUGAACUUUUUGUGAUGUGGUGCAUAAAAUACUGGAACGGAGAUCGCUGGACACAUGAAUUUGACCAGAAAGAGAUUAAUGAGUCAAGGCCACGUAUUGUCGCGGAAAUUAUUUUUUUAGAGGUGAACAAAUUAGAGAAGGUCAAGAUGAAAAUUGUUAAAAUCAUAGAGAACGAAUAG
rnacentral:rRNA from 1 species